AGAGAAAUUGAUUUCAGUUACCAAUUGGUGAGAGUUACACGGUUGCUAAAAAAAUUAACCUUUUAAAACUGGACCAAGCGACUUGAAUUAUUUUUAGAUGAUAGCGGGACUGGUUUACGAGACGAUGAUCAAAAUGCUUUUUUUAAAAUUUUGCUAAACUUUAAACUGUUACGAACAACCGAUAAAAAAUUUCCUCGACGCUAAACCUGCCGAUUAUUAAAAGCGACUAACGCGCGUUGAUCUAUGGAAACGACAAGAUUGAAUUUAUUUGAUAUACUUUUCGAUACUUUUCACUAUUUUUAUUCCAACGGUUGCUCGAAUCAACGUAUCGAUCGGAUCGUUUCAUUUCCUACGAAAGAGAGUCUGCAUCUUGAAGAAUUUUCAAAUAAAUCGUACGAAAGCGGCCAUUUUUUAACUGGCACGGUAGGUGCGGUGUUAAUAAUGGCGAUAACAAAAAUAUUAUCGACCUGUUCCACGAUCGUUAUCCGUAACAUAACCAAAACGAUCGAAAGCCGGUAUUCAAGUAUUUGGGAAAGUUUUGUUUACCUUUUCUGCUGAAUAUUCUUCGGUAAGCCCACGAUAAGUUUCGGUUGGCAAUCUCCGUUUGCAAAAAUUGUUGGCGCAAUCUCGUUGAUUUCGAUCCCCGGUUUCAGCGUUCCAAGCUAGUCUGCAAGACGGAAAGAAAAUUGGUCGCUUCUACGAAAUUUCUCGAUAUUCUUACCCGUUGGUCGGUAGUACGUACGUACGUGCAUAGGUGUAAAGUCGCAAAGACUCGUGGCGAAAGUAAAUUGUACAAUUUCCUUCGUUUUUCGGCGGUCUCGUCGAGAAAUCGGAACGGCGGCUAAUCUAGAAUUGAAUGAACGCAGGACAAGGUGCGUGGAACGGAAACGGAAACGGGAACGGGAACAAGAACGAAAACGGGUACGGGAACGAGAAGGGAACGCUGGCGAGACGAACCGAACCAACGCGGGCCAACUCCGAUUAGAGGUUACGGUGUCCGCGAGACGGCGACUCCGUCGUAGUUGCAGACGGGAUUGCAGUAAUCGCGCACGUGUAUCCGUCAAGUGCGAGUAACCGCGCCACGCGGUCCUCUUUCUCCCUCUCCCUUUCUCUCCCUCCCACUCUGUCCCUCUCGGUCUAUCUUUUUUCGUUUUCACACGUGCAUAUCACACGUUUCUACCUCGCGCGGCAUGAACGAACAGUCGGACCGUUCAGUAGUUUUUCAUCGACGGACCGGCGAGUAUCUCGCGGCUAGUAGUUAGGUAGAGGAAAAGCGAGAGGGCCAGAGGCACGGAGACACACGAUGCCGGACAAAGUCGCGCCAGCCGAGAAGCGGGUCUUGAGGCCCAUCGGGUCCGACUCCGGUUCCGAUACCGUCAAAUUGCAAAAGGAACUGGGAUUAUGGGACGGCGUGGCGAUCAUCGUCGGCAUCAUCGUCGGCGCCGGAAUUUUCGUCGCGCCGAAAGGUGUUUUGAUGAACAGCAACAGCGUGGGACAGGCGUUGAUCAUAUGGGUGUUUUCCGGAGUGCUGUCGCUGAUCGGAGCCCUGUGCUACGCCGAACUCGGUACGAUGAUUCCGAAAUCUGGGGGCGAUUACGCGUACAUCAGCGACGCGUUCGGCCCGUUUCCGGCGUUUCUCUAUCUCUGGGUAGCGUUCUUCGUUCUUGUUCCAACGGGGAACGCGAUCACCGCCCUCACGUUCGCCGAGUACAUUUUGCAACCAGUUUGGCCGGGUUGCGUGCCUCCCUACGAAGCGGUGCGUUUACUCGCCGCAGUCAUCACUUGUUUAUUGACAGUCAUCAACUGUUACAACGUGAAAUGGGCUACCAGAGUGCAGGACAUCUUCACCGCCACGAAAAUUUUCGCGCUCGUGAUCAUCAUCGUAGCCGGAUUCUGGUGGCUCUGCACGGGCCACACGGAGAAUUUCCACCGUCCCAUGGCCAACACCAACACGCAGCCCGGCUACAUCGCUUUGGCCAUUUAUUCGGGCCUGUUUUCCUAUUCGGGCUGGAACUACCUGAACUUCGUUACCGAGGAGCUGAAGGAACCGUACAAGAACCUACCGAAGGCUAUUUGCAUAUCCUUGCCAUUGGUUACGGUAAUUUAUGUUCUGGUGAACGUCGCUUACUUCGCCGUGUUGAAACAAGACGAGAUUCUUUCGUCGAACGCGGUGGCGGUGACGUUCGGGGACAAGCUGCUGGGCGUGAUGUCUUGGAUAAUGCCAUUUUUUGUGGCCUGCUCGACUUUCGGCGCCCUAAACGGAGCUAUAUUCGCGUCUUCGCGAUUAUUCUUCGUGGGGGCGAGAAACGGACACUUGCCUGCUGCCAUUGCUCUCAUCAACGUCCAGAACUUAACGCCGAUGCCGUCCCUCAUCUUCCUCUGCAUUAUCACCCUGGCACUUCUCAGCAUAGAGGAUGUAUACGUGCUAAUCAAUUAUGUCAGCUUCGUCGAGGCACUGUUCACUACGCUCUCCGUGUCUGGUCUCCUCUGGCUUCGCUACAAAAAUCCAGACCGUGAACGACCGAUCAAGGUCUCGAUCGUGUUGCCGAUCAUAUUUUUCGUUAUCUGCGCGUUUUUGGUGACGGUUCCCUGCUACGUGUCGCCCUGGGAAGUGGGUGUCGGGGUAAUAAUCAUCUUAUCCGGUAUACCUGUCUACUGGAUUUUUAUUCAUUGGAAAAAGAAGCCUAAAUGGAUCGUGAGGUCGUCUCAUAAUCUGAACAUGGUGUGCGUGAAGCUGUUUAUGUGCAUGCAGGAGCAGAAAAGCGAUUGAGAUUCACGAACGAGAGAACAUCGAAUCUCGUUCCCCGUGACGCGCGAGCGAUCCGUUUUCUCGUGGAAAUCGUGGUAAGUCGGGUAUGGAAACACGCGGCUGAACCAACUCGUUCGUUUUGUCCGCGGGUUAAAAACGUUGGAAAAGCUGCGCAACGGCGGCAACGAACGGGCCGUCGCGCCGCAUAGUUCCGAUCAAAUCCGACGGAUCGAUUCGUGGCAAGAAUCGUGAACCACGACGAAUUUCGAAUUCCUCGAGUCGCCCCGAUUGCGGCGACCGAUUCGCAGCCGCGUAUCUUCUCCGCGCAAUUUUACACGUACAUACCUCCGAACGAAUGCGGCGAUCUUGUAGUCUCGGCAAAAUGCGUCAAUUACUAAAUUCCUUUGUCGCGACGCGACGCGACAAACAGGAUCUUUCCUAGGAUCCCAACUCGCGAGAGUACGUACCGCGUAACGCGAUUGCGACACGUUCGGAUACGCGUUCGAUCCUGGGAGAAGACGUCGCGUCGUCGUAAUAUCGUAAAUCGAGGCCCCGACCGUCGAAGGACCGAUCGGAGUCUAAGAGCGAGCAACGAUCGUUCCGUGCACGAUAUAUCGGUUCGUUGUCUUUUCUAUGCAAGAUGCCGAUUACCGAUCUCGAAACGAUAUCGUGCGACGAUCGCGGGAUAAAAAGCUUUCUACGCACAGUCCCACCUACCGAAAAUAUUCGUCGAAACGCGUCGAAACGUGUCGAAAAGAAGAAGUUGUCUGUCCGACACGCUGGCUAAACCGUGCGUUCGAACGCGGAACGUCGUAUUUUAAUAAACGAAGCAGCGCAUACAUAUAUUUAUAUUAUUUAAUUGUACAUACAACGCGAGCAACUAUAAAUUAUUCGUCGUUGUUCGCGUACCGGUGAACCGCUCUUCCGUUCGAUAUAAGUUCUCGUCGAUGUACGCGUAAGUAGCAAUAUAUGUAUAUUUUACGCGUCCGAUUUAUUUGCGAUGCUCUCCCAACUGGUCGCGCGUACCGCUAAAUUAUAAGGUACCGAAAAGAGGAACGGUCUAACGGAAUUACCCUAAGAUCGUUGCGUAAGAUAUGUUUUUAACGUGUUUUUAGAGCGGCGUAAUAGGAUUUACAAAUAGGCGAAGAAAAUGCUCUGUCGAUUCGAAGAUACAGGGGAGAGUCAAUCGAGAACUCGGAAUUGUAAUAUAGCAAAAUAUUCUGCUCUUCCUUAGAGAAAUAUUUUUUCCGAUAACACGACGAAAAACCGAAAACCGAUCGAUCGAUCGAUCGAUGUAAAAACAACAAAAUUCUGAAUUCUGUGAAAGUGUUCGCGGACGAUCGCAUCGAAGCGAUACGAAAUUCGAAUACCGAUUUUCUAUUUCGUAAUAACUAGAUAUGCUUUCGUUCGGAAACUAAAUGUAACGACACAGUAAUGUUACAAAAUUUUCAGCGAUUCGCUAAAAUAACAAUUAUAUGCUGCAACGAGUAUGCGCGCACAGUGAUCGACAAAAGAAAGUUCAAAGCCUGAUACAUACGAAAGAUACCACAAUUUCUGUAAACUGAAAUUUUAUCUGAAAGCAGCAUAUUUAUAAACAUCUUAUGAAAUAACGAUAACAAAAAAUUACAAAGACUGAAUAGAAAAUUAAUAGCUUUUUGAAAACAAUGAUACGAAUGAAAAAACUAAGCGUAGACAAAAAUAAGUUUAAUUCUACAUUUUGCGAUUACGAUUUUUAUUCUGCGAUAUUUUAUAUACCUAUUUUGUAAGACUUUGUUGCUGUUUAUUAUAGCUUGUAGCCUUUUUUACAUACUUUUCAAGUACUCUGUAUAGAUAUUUCGUUGUACACGUAUACGUAUACGUAUACGUAUAUGUACACACAUUUUGUUUUACCAAAAUCGUUCCGAGGUUUCCAAAAUGGAACCGAGAUCCGGAGAUUACGAUGGCCGCUCGAAUUUUAAAAUAUUUCUCCGUAAUAGGAUUGGGCGCUGCACCACCUUUCUACGCGUUGUAAAAAAUGAUUUUUACACGCAUCGACGCAGUCGAUACCCCUGUCGUAAUAGUCGAUGGAAUGGAUUUUACUUUUCGAGAUGGUUCUACACCUUAAAUUUUAUCCUUUUUCAUUUAUUUUUGUUGCUUGAUUGAAAUUUUGUAUCGUCCGAUUCCGAAAAAGUUACGAAUACUCGUAAACGGAAACACCGACGUUAAACUUUCUUUUGCCCAUCGCUGUAUUUAAAAUAACUGAUUAUUAUAUACCGCGAUUACUUUAAAGAACACGAUCGAAUAAACGAAGAACUUUAUACGAUAUUUAUACGAUAAACUUAUAAACGAUAUUAUAGCAUUUCUAUCGCAACAUAGAAUUUAGUAAUUUUUACACCUUCGCACAUAUUAUUGUACCGUUCGAAAUCAAAUUCGGAAUGCGGUCGACGCGAUUAGCAAUUUGUACUAUGUAUAAUAUUACGAUACGAUACCGGUGCUCGGAACAGGUGACAGCGAACUUGUUCACGAGAAACUAACGCUCGUUCGUUUCACGAUGCGCGCGACACAUCGAAUGCCUUGUUAGAAUGCCCUUCUCGCUAACAUGUGAUUACAAUACGCGAGCUGUUUCCGAGAUUUCGGCAAACUCUAGCGUAAACGCGAUACUGCAAACAGCUCGCGGUCAACUCGCAAACACCUAACCGGUGUAACACGCGGCAUUCGUAUGCGACAAAAUCAAUUUUUAGACUCGCUCAAGGGCAGUUGGAUACGUGUUUUCGGUUCGGUUAUAACAAGACGCAUCGUCACCCUUCCGCGUAAACGAUAGAAGUUUGUUCGAACUUUUGUUAGAAUUUUCGCAACGAUUUGUAAUUUUAAACUCCUCGUUUUUACCAUCGUACGCGCAGCAUCGAUUUUUUAAUAAGCUCUACGACAGUAUUCGCGAAACAAGUAAUCGGUGAAAAAGCGCCUAAUACGUAUAAGCAACGAAUAUCGUAACGACAGAUACAGCAAAUAAUGUAGCAACGAAUGUAGCUACGAAUCGUAUUUUAUUAUACCACUUUGUUAUACGUAUCGUUAAGUAAGUACAAGCGAACGGAAACUAGAAACUGUAAAUGAAAUAUUAAGAGGAUGCCUUUUCAUCCUUUCGAUAAUAAAUACAAAGUACCAAAUGAAUAUA